UAACAAGGAUUCCCCUAGUAACGGGGAGUGAAGCGGGAUGAGCUCAAAUUUGAAAGCUGGCGCCUUGGGUGUCCGAAUUGUAAUCUCGAGAAGUAGUAUCUGUGCUGGGCCAUGUACAAGUUCCUUGGAAUAGGACAUCAGAGAGGGUGAGAAUCCCGUACUUGACAUGGAUUCCUGUGCUUUGUGAUCUGCUCUCUAUGAGUCGAGUUGUUUGGGAAUGCAGCUCAAAAUGGGUGGUAAAUUCCAUCUAAAGCUAAAUAUUGGGGAGAGACCGAUAGCGAACAAGUACCGUGAGGGAAAGAUGAAAAGCACUUUGGAAAGAGAGUUAAACAGUACGUGAAAUUGUCAAAAGGGAAGCGCUUGAGGUUAGCUAUGCACGCAGUAUUCAGCCUUUCUUUUGGAGGGUGUACUUGCUGUGUUGCAGGCCAGCAUCGAUUUUGUCUGCUGGAGAAGGGUGGCAGGAAUGUGGCACCCUCGGGUGUGUUAUAGCCUGCUACUGGAUGCAGUGGAUGGGAUCGAGGACUGCAGUGUGCCGUAAGGCGGCUCUUCGGAGACCUUCGCACUUAGGAUGCUGGCGUAAU
rnacentral:rRNA from 2 species